GAUGAAGAACGUAGCGAAAUGCGAUAAGUAAUGUGAAUUGCAGAAUUCAGUGAAUCAUCGAAUCUUUGAACGCAUCUUGCGCUCCUUGGUAUUCUGAGGAGCAUGCCUGUUUGAGUGUCAUUAAAUUCUCAACUACACUGACUUUGAAUUGGUGUGGCUUGGAUUUGGGGGGAAAAUUGUUGUGGGCUUUUUGUAUAGUCUGCUCCCCUGAAAUUGAUUAGCGGUACCUUUGUGGAACUGUCUACAGGUGUGAUAAUUAUCUACAUCUUAGACAUCUGCUGGAAUGCUGCUUUCUAAACCUUACUUGUAUUGACAAUCUUGACCCCAAAUCAGGUAGGACUACCCGCUGAACUUAAGCAUAUCAAUAAGCGGAGGA
rnacentral:misc_RNA from 1 species